CCUACGGGGGGCAGCAGUGAGGAAUAUUGGUCAAUGGUCGGGAGACUGAACCAGCCAAGCCGCGUGAGGGAGGAAGGUACAGAGUGUCGUAAACCUCUUUUGUCAGGGAAUAAAGGCGGGGACGUGUCCCCGGAUGAGUGUACCUGAAGAAAAAGCAUCGGCUAACUCCGUGCCAGCAGCCGCGGUAAUACGGAGGAUGCGAGCGUUAUCCGGAAUUACUGGGCGUAAAGGGUGCGUAGGCGGUUUUGUAAGUCAGGGGUGAAAGGCGCGGGCUCAACCCCCGGCCGCCGGUUGAAACUGGCAGUCUCGAGUUAGGGAGGGGUAAGCGGAAUUCGCGGUGUAGCAGUGAAAUGCGUAGAUAUCGAGAGGAACACCGAUUGCGAAGGCGGGUUCCCGGAUACUCACUGACGCUGAGGCACGAAGGCGAGGGGAUCGAAAGGGAUUAGAUACCCGUGUAGUC
rnacentral:rRNA from 1 species